CAGCCCGGGGCCUACGGCGAGGAUCCGCAGUCCAGAGCCUACGGCAAUGAUCCACGAGUCAGUGCUACAAGAGCGGACUCAGUGUAAAGAAGGGGGGCGGCGUCCAGAACCAGAGCCGCCACCGAGGUUAGAUGCCCACCCAGACCCUCCCGUUUAGGUGAGGCACAGCAAAUAUAUAGCCUGUAUGACAUCCAGCCCUGAUGUCCCCUUUCCUUUUCCCCUGUGAUCCAGAAAAGCCUCAGGAUUCUUCAGGAUAUGGACUCUACAAAGUGUUGAAAGCAUUCCACAGGGAUGCCGGCCCAUGUUGACUCCAAUGCUUCCCACAGUUGUGUUAAGUUGGCUGAAUGUCCUUUGGGUUGUGGACCAUUCUUGAUA